rnacentral:misc_RNA from 1 species
GAUGAAGAACGUAGCGAAAUGCGAUACGUAAUGUGAAUUGCAGAAUUCAGUGAAUCAUCGAAUCUUUGAACGCAUAUUGCGCUCUCUGGUAUUCCGGAGAGCAUGCUUGUUUGAGUAUCAGUAAACACCUCAACUCCCUUUCUUCUUGAAAUGGAGCUGGACUUGAGUGAUCCCAACGCUUUAUUCAUAAAGUGGCGGGUUACUUGAAAUGCAGGUGCAGCUGGACUUUUCUCUGAGCUAUAAGCAUAUCUAUUUAGUCUGCCUCAAAACAGAUUAUUACCUUUGCUGCAGCUAACAUAAAGGAGAUUAGUUCUUGUGCUGACUGAUGCAGGAUUCACAAAGACCGCUUCGGCUGUCUUUGUAAACUCGAUCUCGAAUCAAGUAAGACUACCCGCUGAACUUAAGCAUAUCAAUAAGCGGAGGA